CGUUAUAGCCGUUACCAGGACGAAGAACAGAGGAUCAGACAGAAAUUUUCAUCCGAAAAUACCGCUUAUCAACUAUCUUCUGACGAUUUUCUGAUUAGAAGAAUCACAAAUCUGGUGACCAUUAAGACUAAAUGUUCAGGGAUUAAAGGAUUAAAAUACAAUUGCGGGAAAAGUGAGGAUUUCCAAGGACAUGGAUACUCAAGGAACUCAUAUCGGUAGAAUACUCGGGAAAGAUACUCAAGGAGGUCCGAACGGCAUCCGAUUCCGUCGUCAAGUUGCUGCUUGCCACAUCCAACGACGAUGACGUCCUCGACGUCUGGCGCAGCUCGAGG